ensembl:misc_RNA
AAGGAUCAGUCUGCCUUGCUGCGCCCCUUCCCUAGGAAAGGCGUCACCGCGUCCCCCCCACUUCGUUAUCUUGGGCUGUGGCGCCGGCUAAAGAUGCUGGAUGCCUGCUGGUCUUCAC